rnacentral:rRNA from 1 species
CACGUAGGAGGCAAACGUUAUCCGGAUUUACUGGGCGUAAAGCGCGUGUAGGUGGUACUGUAAGUAGGGCGUGAAAGCUCCUGGCUCAACUGGGAGAGGCCGUUCUAAACUGCAGCACUCGAGUUUGGUAGAGGAAGAUGGAAUUCCAGGUGUAGCGGUAAAAUGCGCAGAUAUCUGGAGGAACACCAGUGGCGAAAGCGGUCUUCUAGACCAAUACUGACACUCAGACGCGAAAGCUAGGGUAGCAAACGGG